AUCCAGCUGACGAAUCCCGAAUAGGACGAAACGCGCUUGCUGGGU
rnacentral:hammerhead_ribozyme from 1 species